ensembl:rRNA 5S_rRNA 5S ribosomal RNA
GCCUUUAGCCAAGCUAGACUCAAUGCACCCAGUUUUGCCUAGUCCUGGAAGCUGAACAGGCCCAGGCCUGGCUAACAUUUCAAUACGGUGACCAUCUGGGAAUUCAGCGUGCUGUGGGCG